AGCAAUUGCUGAGCGCUGCUGGGGAGGCGGGAAGGAGGACAGUGAUCUGCGCUGGAGGCGGAUGGGGUCUGCUGGGCACUGGCGUGUGCGGCUGCACAGUCUGACACGCCAUCCUGCGGCGGCUGGAGCAGCACAGCUGUGCUUCCUGGGGGGUCACAACAGGUGCCUCUGGCUGGGUUUCCUGUGUGAAUCAGGUCUCCUAUAGCUCAGCCAUCAAACUCAACAGAGACUCCAUCACUGAAGGCAAGAGAUGAGUUGUGAAUUUAAUUCUGAAUAUAGGGAGGCCUGGGAUCCUUUGAUUUCUUAUUUAGUGUUUAUAUAAAAUAUCUCAUCUUUCCAGUAAGACAUUGAAUUAGAACAAGUUCUAGGGGGAAACUAUGUUGUAUGGCCUCAGACAAUAGAAAGAAGAUGGUUAUUAUUAAUUUGAAUGACAGUAGUACGCAGAGGUUUCAAUCAUAUUGAGGUACCAUUAGGUCAGGCACUGUGCAGACUCUUAGGGACAGAUGUGAACAAAGGUGACUUCAUUGUGAUUACUUAUGGAGCAACAUGCUAUCCAGAAUGAGUAAAGGUAUGAGAAUCUGGGCCAUAGCAAGAGACACUUCCUGCCCCAAAGACCUUUCAGUGGAUGUAAACAGUGUAAUACCCAGCUUGUGUUUACAUCAACCUUUUUUUCUGAAAAAUGUGCUGUUAUUGCUAAAGCUGAUGCAGUGUUAGCAAUGAUAGGAACACUAGGCAGGAUUCUGGCUGGCUGCUGGCAUUUUAAAUCACUGCAUCCUCUAAUCCUGCUCGGUGCAGAUUUAUAUGAUAUGAUGGUGUAGUGGGGCGGCUGCCCUACCCCCAUGUGAGUGGGGGCUAGAGUAGGCCAGAGAGGCUGCUGCCUGCGCAGCCUAUGAAAAAAGGGCUUACUGGGGGCCAAUCAGAGCCAAGAUUGGAGACAGCUAAUCAGGGCUCGGCUUGGCCCUAUAUAAAAGCUGUCCAGGAAGAGCAGCGGGCAGUCUGUCCCAGAUCUUCAUGGGGGGAGGUCUGUCUCCAGAGCAGGAGACCAGCCCCUUGGACAGAGUAGGGCUGGGCAGGCUCAGGGGGAGCGCAGUUGGGCUCUAGCCCAAUACCUGCCAUACUGAGGGCCCUGAGAGAAAGGGCCUAGAGGGUGUGAGGGGCCAGAGGGGAAGUGGCCCAGGGACAGUUGGACAAGGGGAGAGAAGGAGGGCAGGGAGGCUACCACUAGAGGGUCCCUGGGUCGGGACCCAGAGUAGUGAGUGGGCCUGGGUCCCCCCCCCCUUCUCCCUUGUACUGCACCUGGCCAUGCAGUAGGGUGGCUGAGACAAACUACAACUGGCCCUUGAGACAAGGGGCUAGACUUUAGAGGUUGUGGUUGGCCACUGAGGCCAGCGUGAGGACUCCUGAACAGCCCCCCUCUCCCCCCCCGAAGGGGGUGAGGAUGGACUAAGGGCACUGCCGGAGGGCAGUGGCUUGAAAAGGGCGACGCGGGCUCAGAUGCCAACCGAGGGCAAGACGACGGACGGGACACUAUCAGGAAGGGGUGCUCCACUGGACAGAGCUAAUUCCCAGAGACAACCAGCAGGAGGUGCCAGGUGAUUUUUAUAUUCUGUCUCUCAUUUUGAAUUGGAACUGUGCACUACAUCUUGCUAUAAGGACAGGGAUUGCAGACAUUUUCCAGAUGGAACAGAGGUUGGAAAACAUCAAGACUAACUCAGAUGACUGUAUGAAGUGAGCUACAGAAUGUACUUGUGAACUAUACAAACUUUCCUAUAGGACUAUUUUGCUCUUUCAUACUCGUAUGCUAUAAAACAGGGGUGGCCAACCUGUGGCUCUUCAGAAGUUAAUAUGCGGCUCCUGGUAUAGGCCCUAACUCCGAGGCUGGAGCUACAGGCGCCAACUUUCCAAUGUGCUCGGGGGGGGGGGGGGGGUGUGAUCACAGCUCAACCCCUGGCUCUGCCACAGGCCCCGCCCGCACUCUACCCCUUCCCGCCCCCUCCCCUGAGCCUGUCGUGCCCUUGCUCCUACCCUCCAGAGCCUCCUGCAUGCCAUGAGACAGCUGAUCGGGAGGUGCGGGGAGGGAGGGGGAGGUGCUGAUCAGCGGGACUACCUAUGUAUUACUGUGGCUCUUUGGCAAUGUAUAUUGGUAAAUUCUGGCUCCUUCUCAGGCUAAGAUUGACCACCCCUGCAAUACAGGGUUCAUGGAGGGUACAGUGUUUGUGGAGUGGAAGACCUCACCAGGAUCUCAUUGAUGAGUUUCCUCAACAAGGGGGGGAUGGGUGGGGUUUGGCUAGCAUUCUGCUUUCAAACCUCAUGGAUUCCGAGGGAUCUCCAGGUAAACACACGUGACCAGUCUAUCCUACAGCUUUUGCCAUUGCUACUAUCCUGCACUGGUGGUGAAUUGUGCAUCCUGUUUUUGCCAGUGUAGACCACACAUACCUAUUUCCAGCUUUUGGCUGGUGGUUCCAACUUUAUAUUCUGUUCUUCAGCCACCACCAGCUCAGGCUUUUGGCUAGCUGUGGAUGAGUGGGGGCCAUUGGCUCAACCUGCAUUCCUUCCUUCUCCUGCCAGCCAAUCAGGCUGCCCUCAACUCUUUCAUGAUCUCCAGUGAGAGACUCAGAGGAGGUUGGAGGAAGAGCUCAGAGUAGGAACCACUGACCUAUGCCAAGGAAGGGAGCCAUGAGCUCAACAGCAAAAGUAGGAGGAGCUGCUGCAGCUGCUAAGUAAGGGGCCCCGCCUAGCCCAUGUGGGUUCACAUGGGGGAAAUGGUGGUGGGAAGGACUGAGGGGGCUGGAGGGGGAAAAAAACUGAGGGUUAGGGGGAAGGACUAAGGCCCAGAUGCUCAAUGGUAUUUAGUCACCUAACUCCCAUUAAUGUGAGGUAGGUGCUUAAAUAUCUUGCGGAUUUAGGCGUAAUAGAGAAGAAGAAGAGGGGGACUUAAUGGACUGUAGGGAGGGAUAGAAGUGGAGGAGAGGAAAUUAAUGCAGUUGGAGUUAAGCAGAAGACAACUGUAUUUGUGGGCAAGUUUUGCAUGGGGAAUACUUGCAGCAAUAUUUAAAGUUUGCAUAAAGGAAGCAACUGUUCUUCAAAUAUCACUAUUUUUGUCAGACUUUUUGUACCUAUGACAGAUUUUGCAUAGACACAACUGCCUAAAACUGUCUAUACCAAGAUUUUUGUGACAUUCUCUCAUAAGUGUAGCCCCAGCAGUCAUAGAAAUGCUGUAGACCAGCUGGUGGUGUUUUUAACCACCCCUUUUCCAACCCACUGUGUGAAGGGCUUGUCUACAUGGGGAAAUUGACCAGCAAAGCUGUAGCAGAAUAAUUAUAAUUACUCCACUCAGAGUGACCUGAAGAAGAGCUCUGUGUAAGCUCAAAAGCUUCUCUUUCACUAGCUGAAGUUGGUUCAAUAAAAUAUUUUACCUCACCCACCUUGUCUCUCUACUAUACUGGGACAAGCACAGCUACAACAACACUGCAUCUACUCAGAGUGGUUAUUCUGGAAAAGGUCACUUUUAUUCAGGAAUAAAAUAAUAUCAGCAAAGAUAUCACUAUGCCGGUCAUUUUCCCCAUGUAGAAAAGUCCUAAGUAUCACAGUGGUUAAAAUGUCACUGUUGUCAGGUGUGAUGGCUGGGCGCUGAGUGGUGUUGGGGGAGGUCAGACUCAAUGAUCUGGUGGUCCCUUCUAGCCUUUAACUCUGACUCAUUAGCACCUUGCCUGUACUGUCAUUGUCCCUUCAAUUGUGUUCUAUCAGCGUGAAUCCCAUUCACCUGAAAAAUGCCACAUUAGUGCCUGGUUGAUCACUUUACAGGAUCUCGCUCAUAUGCACCAGUUCAUAUAUGGGCAAGCUGUACUUUUGACCUUGCCCUCAAUAACAAACACAAACACAUAUUCAAUAAAAACCAAAAUGAAAAAAACUCUCCUGUAAAAUUUUGCCCUUUGAGAGAGAGGGAAUCAUAUAUGACAAAUAUUAAUCUAUUGUUCUGUUUUUUGUACCGUGCCUAACACAAUAGGGUCUUGCUCUGAGACUCUGACUCCUAGGCACUAUAGUAAUACAAAAAAAAAAUAGUAGUCACACUGCUUAAUGCAUUUCUGGAAAGCCUGCAGAUAUGGUCAUCAGUGGUAUAAGAAUCUGAAUAGAAAAGAAUGUAGUAGUUUGUUUAACUCAAAGGAAACCUUGUCAAAUGCUUUAUAUUAUUUAUUACCGUUCAAUAGCUGAAAACACUUUCCCUCACCAAUUUUGUCCUUUGCGUUUGGCAAAUAGUGAUUUAUGUUGUUUGUUUUCAGUUAAACAAGCAUGAAACAAGCAGGACACAUUUGGUUUAUUCCAUGUGUCCUACUAAUAUAUAUAUUUUUAUCCUAUUUUCAGACAUAUACAAAAAUAGAAGGAAGGAACUGAAAGCAGUUGGAUAAUAUUGCUAACCACAAAGUAACUAAUUCCAUCAAACUGUUCUGAUAGAUAAUCUCAUAUCUAAAAUUGCCAGAGGCAUGAAGCUGUUGGCCUUGGUUUGUCCUUGUGUGCGUUUGUGACUGGGGGAGGAUUUUGAAUAGGACAGAGGACAAACAAGUUUUUAAGAUUCACAGUCACUAGGAAUUCUAAUGACACAAAUGCACCCGACUCAAAUUACUUUUUCAAGUGAAACACCAUGUAUGUUUAAACAGUAACCCAAAACUUGCAGUCUUAAAGCUGACCUGGUUUAGAAAUAAAAGAGUUUGUGUGUUUGUG